UACCGUAAGAAUAAUUAAGAAAACACAUAAAGGACAUACAUUAAUCCUAAAGACACAUCCUAGUUGCCUUCCUUAACAUAUUUGAUUUUCUCAACUGAAGUAGAAAAUUAGGGAUACAAAUGCAAAAGAGGGCUUGUUACAAUUGGUUUUUUUUUUUGCUUUAAACUUAAUGGGCCUGGACUAUUUUAAUUUUUUUGGGUAAUGUAUUAAAUUUCGGUGUGUGUUCAGUUUUUUGGUUCGAUUUUAUCAAACUUCGGUUCGGCUAUUUCAGUUUCGGUUUUUUGAAGGUGAACACCAAACACCAAACCAAACUAGUUCGGUUUGGUUCGGUUUGUUGAAGUUUCGGUUCGAUUUGAUUCGAUUUUUUGAUUUUCGGUAUUUAUGCCCCAGCCCUACUUAAAACUAAGCAACCCUUUUCAUCCCAUCAGAACCAAACGACCCUCUUCAACCAACAGCCCUAACCAAACCACCCUUCAACCAUCGCCGCCACCCCACCCCCCAUCACGUCACGUCGUCUCACCACCACCACACCCGUCGGACCACCGUAUAAAGAAUAGACACCAUCUCCCAUCAACCCCAGUCCCUUUUCUUCAAGUGACAGAGCUUCGAACAGCUCGUCCAAGUCGAAUCAACCCCCCAAAUCGAAAAAACACGCAAGGAUCUUUGGGUUUCUAGGCAGAUUUUCCAACAAUCCAUAGGUUAAAGGCUCGUUCUAAUCCGUUGGGGCCUAAAACCAUGGAAAAACCAUUAGAUUCGGACCUCUAGCUUUCACUUCACCUCUUGAAAAAAAAGAUGGUGAGAACCGUCACUUUUCUUCAUCAUUUCAUCCUUUUUGAAAUCUCAGAAUUUUCCCUGCCUUUAAUCCGAAUUUCCAAGGCAAAAGAACAAGCUGUUGAAACACCCAACCUUCGGCUAUCAAUACUGGCCAUUGAGGGCUGUUUUAAACAAGGUGGAACAACCACAAAAACCCCUUUUAUUUUCAUGAACUUUCCCCCUCUCGAAAAUUUCUUUUGCUAAAACUCGAAUUCGUAGAAAAUUCUAUUUUUUAACUCUGAGUUGUUUUGGCUGUAUAAUUUUGGUUGUUCUCGGCUAAGCAAGGACCACUUCGAGCGGAUUCGAAGCCUCAGUUCGGUGUCACGGAGAAGGAACCUUGGGAGCAUUUGGAGUUAUGACAACUUUGGAUUCUGCCCAUAUCAGAGAACAACCGAUUGCAGAUUUAAUUGCUCGUGUCUAGCCGUCCCCUACUUUCGCAUCUCGAGUUUCCGCUCUUCCUUUAUUCAAAAUUUUAAGCCUUCGUAUUGUUUGAUACGUGCUAUUUAUAUUAUUUGACUAACACUCUUGUGAAUUUGUAUUUUUGUGGUUUUGUUUUUAAUUCGUAACUUGACUUAAGUAUGUUAGUAAGUUUAGUUAUUAUCUUCCCUA